rnacentral:rRNA from 3 species
GGGUUGUGAGGUUAAGCGACUAAGCGUACACGGUGGAUGCCCUGGCAGUCAGAGGCGAUGAAGGACGUGCUAAUCUGCGAUAAGCGUCGGUAAGGUGAUAUGAACCGUUAUAACCGGCGAUUUCCGAAUGGGGAAACCCAGUGUGAUUCGUCACACUAUCAUUAACUGAAUCCAUAGGUUAAUGAGGCGAACCGGGGGAACUGAAACAUCUAAGUACCCCGAGGAAAAGAAAUCAACCGAGAUUCCCCCAGUAGCGGCGAGCGAACGGGGAGCAGCCCAGAGCCUGAAUCAGUGUGUGUGUUAGUGGAAGCGUCUGGAAAGGCGCGCGAUACAGGGUGACAGCCCCGUACACAAAAAUGCACAUGCUGUGAGCUCGAUGAGUAGGGCGGGACACGUGGUAUCCUGUCUGAAUAUGGGGGGACCAUCCUCCAAGGCUAAAUACUCCUGACUGACCGAUAGUGAACCAGUACCGUGAGGGAAAGGCGAAAAGAACCCCGGCGAGGGGAGUGAAAAAGAACCUGAAACCGUGUACGUACAAGCAGUGGGAGCACAGAGCAAUCUGUGUGACUGCGUACCUUUUGUAUAAUGGGUCAGCGACUUAUAUUCUGUAGCAAGGUUAACCGAAUAGGGGAGCCGAAGGGAAACCGAGUCUUAACUGGGCGUUAAGUUGCAGGGUAUAGACCCGAAACCCGGUGAUCUAGCCAUGGGCAGGUUGAAGGUUGGGUAACACUAACUGGAGGACCGAACCGACUAAUGUUGAAAAAUUAGCGGAUGACUUGUGGCUGGGGGUGAAAGGCCAAUCAAACCGGGAGAUAGCUGGUUCUCCCCGAAAGCUAUUUAGGUAGCGCCUCGUGAAUUCAUCUCCGGGGGUAGAGCACUGUUUCGGCAAGGGGGUCAUCCCGACUUACCAACCCGAUGCAAACUGCGAAUACCGGAGAAUGUUAUCACGGGAGACACACGGCGGGUGCUAACGUCCGUCGUGAAGAGGGAAACAACCCAGACCGCCAGCUAAGGUCCCAAAGUCAUGGUUAAGUGGGAAACGAUGUGGGAAGGCCCAGACAGCCAGGAUGUUGGCUUAGAAGCAGCCAUCAUUUAAAGAAAGCGUAAUAGCUCACUGGUCGAGUCGGCCUGCGCGGAAGAUGUAACGGGGCUAAACCAUGCACCGAAGCUGCGGCAGCGACGCUGAUGCGUUGUUGGGUAGGGGAGCGUUCUGUAAGCCUGCGAAGGUGUGCUGUGAGGCAUGCUGGAGGUAUCAGAAGUGCGAAUGCUGACAUAAGUAACGAUAAAGCGGGUGAAAAGCCCGCUCGCCGGAAGACCAAGGGUUCCUGUCCAACGUUAAUCGGGGCAGGGUGAGUCGACCCCUAAGGCGAGGCCGAAAGGCGUAGUCGAUGGGAAACAGGUUAAUAUUCCUGUACUUGGUGUUACUGCGAAGGGGGGACGGAGAAGGCUAUGUUGGCCGGGCGACGGUUGUCCCGGUUUAAGCGUGUAGGCUGGUUUUCCAGGCAAAUCCGGAAAAUCAAGGCUGAGGCGUGAUGACGAGGCACUACGGUGCUGAAGCAACAAAUGCCCUGCUUCCAGGAAAAGCCUCUAAGCAUCAGGUAACAUCAAAUCGUACCCCAAACCGACACAGGUGGUCAGGUAGAGAAUACCAAGGCGCUUGAGAGAACUCGGGUGAAGGAACUAGGCAAAAUGGUGCCGUAACUUCGGGAGAAGGCACGCUGAUAUGUAGGUGAAGCGACUUGCUCGUGGAGCUGAAAUCAGUCGAAGAUACCAGCUGGCUGCAACUGUUUAUUAAAAACACAGCACUGUGCAAACACGAAAGUGGACGUAUACGGUGUGACGCCUGCCCGGUGCCGGAAGGUUAAUUGAUGGGGUCAGCGCAAGCGAAGCUCUUGAUCGAAGCCCCGGUAAACGGCGGCCGUAACUAUAACGGUCCUAAGGUAGCGAAAUUCCUUGUCGGGUAAGUUCCGACCUGCACGAAUGGCGUAAUGAUGGCCAGGCUGUCUCCACCCGAGACUCAGUGAAAUUGAACUCGCUGUGAAGAUGCAGUGUACCCGCGGCAAGACGGAAAGACCCCGUGAACCUUUACUAUAGCUUGACACUGAACAUUGAGCCUUGAUGUGUAGGAUAGGUGGGAGGCUUUGAAGUGUGGACGCCAGUCUGCAUGGAGCCGACCUUGAAAUACCACCCUUUAAUGUUUGAUGUUCUAACGUGGACCCGUAAUCCGGGUUGCGGACAGUGUCUGGUGGGUAGUUUGACUGGGGCGGUCUCCUCCUAAAGAGUAACGGAGGAGCACGAAGGUUGGCUAAUCCUGGUCGGACAUCAGGAGGUUAGUGCAAUGGCAUAAGCCAGCUUGACUGCGAGCGUGACGGCGCGAGCAGGUGCGAAAGCAGGUCAUAGUGAUCCGGUGGUUCUGAAUGGAAGGGCCAUCGCUCAACGGAUAAAAGGUACUCCGGGGAUAACAGGCUGAUACCGCCCAAGAGUUCAUAUCGACGGCGGUGUUUGGCACCUCGAUGUCGGCUCAUCACAUCCUGGGGCUGAAGUAGGUCCCAAGGGUAUGGCUGUUCGCCAUUUAAAGUGGUACGCGAGCUGGGUUUAGAACGUCGUGAGACAGUUCGGUCCCUAUCUGCCGUGGGCGCUGGAGAAUUGAGGGGGGCUGCUCCUAGUACGAGAGGACCGGAGUGGACGCAUCACUGGUGUUCGGGUUGUCAUGCCAAUGGCACUGCCCGGUAGCUAAAUGCGGAAGAGAUAAGUGCUGAAAGCAUCUAAGCACGAAACUUGCCCCGAGAUGAGUUCUCCCUGACUCCUUGAGAGUCCUGAAGGAACGUUGAAGACGACGACGUUGAUAGGCCGGGUGUGUAAGCGCAGCGAUGCGUUGAGCUAACCGGUACUAAUGAACCGUGAGGCUUAACCUUACAACGCCGAAG